rnacentral:rRNA from 1 species
UGGGGAAUUUUGGACAAUGGGCGAAAGCCUGAUCCAGCAAUGCCGCGUGUGUGAAGAAGGCCUUCGGGUUGUAAAGCACUUUUGUCCGGAAAGAAAUCCUUGGCUCUAAUACAGUCGGGGGAUGACGGUACCGGAAGAAUAAGCACCGGCUAACUACGUGCCAGCAGCCGCGGUAAUACGUAGGGUGCAAGCGUUAAUCGGAAUUACUGGGCGUAAAGCGUGCGCAGGCGGUUUGCUAAGACCGAUGUGAAAUCCCCGGGCUCAACCUGGGAACUGCAUUGGUGACUGGCAGGCUAGAGUAUGGCAGAGGGGGGUAGAAUUCCACGUGUAGCAGUGAAAUGCGUAGAGAUGUGGAGGAAUACCGAUGGCGAAGGCAGCCCCCUGGGCCAAUACUGACGCUCAUGCACGAAAGCGUGGGGAGCAAAACAGGAUUAGAUACCCUGGUAGUCCACGCCCUAAACGAUGUCAACUAGUUGUUGGGGAUUCAUUUCCUUAGUAACGUAGCUAACGCGUGAAGUUGACCGCCUGGGGGAGUACGGUCGCAAGAUUAAAACUCAAAUGAAUUGACGGGGUCAUAGCUGUUUCCU